UACGUAGGUGGCAAGCGUUGUCCGGAUUUACUGGGCGUAAAGAGCGCGCAGGCGGUCGUUCAAGUCGCGUGUGAAAGCCCCCGGCUCAACUGGGGAGGGUCACGCGAUACUGAUCGACUCGAAGGCAGGAGAGGGUAGUGGAAUUCCCGGUGUAGUGGUGAAAUGCGUAGAUAUCGGGAGGAACACCAGUGGCGAAGGCGACUACCUGGCCCAAUACUGACACUCAGGUGCGACAGCGUGGGGAGCAAACAGG
rnacentral:rRNA from 1 species